UCUAUAUGUAAAAAAUAUAUAGUCUGGCCUGCCCACUGAAAAGUUUAAAGGGCCGCGGUAUCUGAACCGUGCUAAGGUAGCAUAAUAAAUAGUCUUUUAAUUGAGGUCUAGUAUGAAUGGUCGGACAGGAGGUACGCUGUUUCAAUUGCAAAGCAUGAAUUUUACUUUUAAGUGAGAAGGCUUAGAUUAAAUAGCGGGACGAUAAGACCCUAUAAAGCUUUACAUUUUGAUUGCUAGGUCGGAGAGAUCAGGGUGUUCUGUUCUUGUUGAUUAAAAUGUUUCGUUGGGGCGACGGGAAUAUAAAAAUAGUAACUGUUUUAGAAAUAAAACAAAUAUUUUUGGGGAAUUGAUCCUUUGUUAAGAUUACAAGAGUAAAGUUACUUUAGGGAUAACAGCGUAAUUUUUUUUGAGAGUUCAUAUCGACAAAAGUAGUUGCGACCUCGAUGUUGAAUUAAAGUUUCCCCAAGGUGUAGCAGUUUUGGUGGUAGGUCUGUUCGACCUUUAAAGC
rnacentral:rRNA from 1 species